rnacentral:rRNA from 1 species
CGGUCCAGACUCCUACGGGAGGCAGCAGUGGGGAAUAUUGCACAAUGGGCGCAAGCCUGAUGCAGCCAUGCCGCGUGUGUGAAGAAGGCCUUCGGGUUGUAAAGCACUUUCAGCGGGGAGGAAGGCGAUAAGGUUAAUAACCUUGGCGAUUGACGUUACCCGCAGAAGAAGCACCGGCUAACUCCGUGCCAGCAGCCGCGGUAAUACGGAGGGUGCAAGCGUUAAUCGGAAUUACUGGGCGUAGAGCGCACGCAG